GAUGAACGCUGGCGGCGUGCCUAAUACAUGCAAGUCGAGCGAACAGACGAGGAGCUUGCUCCUCUGACGUUAGCGGCGGACGGGUGAGUAACACGUGGAUAACCUACCUAUAAGACUGGGAUAACUUCGGGAAACCGGAGCUAAUACCGGAUAAUAUAUUGAACCGCAUGGUUCAAUAGUGAAAGACGGUUUUGCUGUCACUUAUAGAUGGAUCCGCGCCGCAUUAGCUAUUUGGUAAGGUAACGGCUUACCAAGGCAACGAUGCGUAGCCGCCCUGAGAGGGUGAUCGGCCACACGGGAACGGAGACACGGUCCAGACUCCUACGGGAGGCAGCAGUAGGGAAUCUUCCGCAAUGGGCGAAAGCCUGACGGAGCAACGCGGCGUGAGUGAUGAAGGUCUUCGGAUCGUAAAACUCUGUUAUUAGGGAAGAACAAAUGUGUAAGUAACUAUGCACGUCUUGACGGUACCUAAUCAGAAAGCCACGGCUAACUACGUG
rnacentral:rRNA from 1 species